rnacentral:lncRNA from 1 species
AGUGAGACCUAAGAUCUUGAUAGUCUCAAUCUAAAAUAUUUUCAGUCAUUAGAUUAUUGAGUCAGAGAUCGAUGAAUCCGAUAAGACUGGUACAUCCUAUAUAUGCUUGAUGGAGAGGAUGGUUGAUCUCACAACCACUUGAGUAGUGACACUAAUACAAGGAUGUAGGUGCUCAUUAAAUAAUGAGUUUACUAAACAGACCCAC